UACGGGGGGGGCAAGCGUUGUUCGGAAUUACUGGGCGUAAAGGGCGCGUAGGCGGCCUCUUAAGUCGAACGUGAAAUCCCCGGGCUCAACCCGGGAACUGCGUCCGAUACUGGGAGGCUUGAAUCCGGGAGAGGGAUGUGGAAUUCCAGGUGUAGCGGUGAAAUGCGUAGAUAUCUGGAGGAACACCGGUGGCGAAGGCGGCAUCCUGGACCGGUAUUGACGCCGAGGCGCGAAAGCUAGGGGAGCAAACGGG
rnacentral:rRNA from 1 species